GAUCAGAAUGAUCUAGGAGGCACGAGAGAGAGAGAGAGAGCGAAUCAGCGAGAGCUGGGAGCUCUCCGACCCGGAAACGCGUCGCCGAACCGAGGGAGAACCCGACCAGAACGCCUUCCUCCGGCCACUACACAGCGGCAGACCACCAGAAAUAGAUUUGUCUCGUCGUCGCCGUCAUGCCUGUGGUCUUCGAUCGCCCAUACACCGAACAAUGAGGGAGAAUCGACGAUGAGAAGCAGCGCCUGCUCUAGCGGUUCUGUGGUGCUUUCCGGCGACUCCGGACACCAUCUGAGCUGUAUUUGGUAUGAAACCUCACCUCCUCGUCAUGCUCUACACCCCAGCAUACUUAGUUUUUGAGUUCGAGUCGGUUCUGAUAAAAUUGUGUUUUGGGGUGUUGUCGGAUUUCAUUGCGAUUCCGGUUUCCGGCGACGGUCGGAGUCUGAUUCAUCUCGGAUAGAAAAUCUGAAGUUUGGACUCGGAAGGGUGGUCAUUCGAGCUUAAUCUGCAGUGUCGGGCUGAGUUGAUCAACUCGAAAUUGAUUAAGCUGGUUCCGGCUUGCUGUGUUCGUCCGCCAGGGAGCAGACCUGCAAUAUGGGUUCCGUUCUUCAUCUACUUUGAUCACAAGGAAGGUGGCGGGUCAUUAAAAAAGACGCGGGGAUUUAAAAUUUUCUCCUCGUAAAAGGGAAAACGUGAUAAAAGAUUAGAAGUCGUGCCCAAAAUUAACAAGAUAAAUAGAUAGAAGUGUUGGCCGGCCAGAAUGAAAACGCAGACUCCAUCUCCUCGUCCUAUCUAUAACUCUAUUGUUCUCUGUGGUAGUAGAGCUUUAUUCUCUAUCGUAGGUUGGUGAAAGAGUAUUGGCGUUGAUCCAGAACAUCUUUUUGGGAAUAAGCAGAGCAUCUCAAUGCUUCCAAGUAAGGAAUAGGGUGGAGAUGUUAUACAGUGAAGUCUGGCAUUAGUAUCAUCCCUGAAACCAUCGAUAUCUGGACUUUGCCUUAUUAUUUUUCUUUACAAGAUCUUCAAAAGAAAAAAAAAAAAAAAAAAAGGACCAAGAUUCACUUUAGUACUUUGUUAUCAC